rnacentral:rRNA from 1 species
AUGGCUGAUAGGAUAAAUAUCUUUGCACCUAACUUGUCACCCAGUGCCUCUAGGUUUUGGAAAGGUAUAAAAACCAUUAUCCAAGCACUGAAAUUUGGUUAUAGAUGGAAGAUUGGGCCAGGAGAUAAAGUUAGAUUCUGGGAGGAUACCUGGUUCGGUACUUCCCCCCUAGCUGUGCAAUUCUGGCCUAUCUACUCCAUUUGCAAUGAGCAAACCAAGAGUGUUAGUGAGGUGUGGGAUGGUCAUCAAUUAAAACUCACCUUUAGAAGAAACUUUGAUGAAAAGCUCAUGGAGCAAUGGUAUCAAUUGAUCGAGGUAGAUGGUAGUUUGGUUCUCAAUAAUGAUACGGAUGCCCUCGUUUGGCAGCUGGAAAACAAAGGGGACUAUUCUACUAGCUCCCUCUGCCAUGUGAUUAAUUUCAGGGGGGCAACAUGUUUUCAUACCAUCAGUGUGGAAACUUAA